UAAUUUUGGUUAAGUCCAGUCUAUCCGUUUUUUCUGCCCUGAAUAUUGCUUGCUGUAUCCUGAGAAAUAUGUGCCCAUCCCGAGUCUGGGGAAAUUUUCUGCUGCAAUGUUUUCAUCCCUAACAGCGCUGACCAGCAGACGUCUCUGAUGACAGAGACGACGGGCCGUGUCUCUAUCCUGUCCAACAGGCAGCCACCAGCUGCAGGUGAGCAUGAGAAGUGUGGCUCGGAACUGACUGUUCACUUCACUUCAAUUAAUUUAAAUGUAAGUAUGUGUAACUAAUGGCUCCCCAAAUGGACAACACAGAUCUAGACGUUUUACGGAUUUAACUUUUAAACUGAGGUUUGUCAGCUGGAAGAGAAAAGCAUGAUGUGCGAGUCCUGAGUUCAGCUUCACGUGCGGACGCGCUGAGGACUGCAGGCCCGGAGACAGCCUCCCAGGAGCUCUGGGCAAGCACUCCGCAGAGGUGAAGGGCAGACGCCAGUGUGUGUGUGGUUUUGGUGAAGAGGGUCUGUGCAGUCAAGCAUGUGUCUCCGUAGAAGGUCACCCGGAGCAGGUGUCUCUGUUAGUGGUUUUAGUGCCUUUCUGGGUAUGACAAGAUGCAAGAAGUUGGGUUCAUAAAAUUUUCUCUUGAAGUAUUUAUCUGCAGUCCUGUCCUUCCAGUUUUCCCAGAGCACAGAGUGCCUCACGCCAGAUCUCCGCCCUGACCUCCUGUCAGGUGUGUUAAAGGUCACUGACCGCUGGGUCCAGUGACUUCAUUCUUGUAGAACCAGAUGGUGAGUGGCUUUUUGGCUGCCAAGCGCAUCGCCUGUUUCUAAUGCGUGUUUGUGAAUGUGGAUGCCCUGUGGGUACCCAGCUGUUCUUGCACAAUUGGUCCAAAGACUGUUCUUUCUCGAACUGAAUUAUGUGGACACCUCUGUUGAACAUCAGUUAUCUACGUACACGUGGUCUUUUCCUGGACUUAUUUGUCGCCUUUGAUUUCCCGUGUGUAUGGCCUUCCCACCUCCCACUUAGCUUUUCUUUCUCAAAACUGAUUUCCUGUUGAAUGUCUCUUACCUUUCUAUAUAGAUUUUGAAUCAGCUUCUCAAUUUCUACAAACUAGAAAGCCCACUGAGAUUUUGAUUUUGAGAUCAACUUUGAGAAUUUUCACCCUAGCAAUGAGCUUUCCAAUCUGUGAAUGUGGUAUAUCUUUAUUUACCCCUUUCUUGAGAUAAUCUUUGAUUCCUCCCAGCAGUGCUUUGUGGUUUCCAGUGUAAAGAACAUGCAAAUUUUCAUUAAAUUACUUCUUAGAUAUUUUAUGACUUUACUGUUACUGGAAGUGGGUGUUUUAAAAUUUUUAUUUCCCAAUUAUUUGUUGCUAGUAUGUAGAAGCACAGUUUAUUUUUGUAUGAACUUGGUGUCCUGGAACCUUGCGAAGUUCACUUAUUAGUUCUAGUGUUUGGGGGUCAAUUUUUUUAGAACUUUCUGUGCUCACAAUUGUGCUUCUGUGAGUAGAAUCUUUCACGUCUUCCAGGUGACCUGAGCUGGGAAGCGAGGGUGGGGGGCUCGCUCUCCCCUCUCCCGUCUCCCCAGAUCUUUGGGACUCACUGCCCCCCCCAUCCACCUGCCAGAAGAGCUUGUGGGGGAGGUGGUGAGGGCAGGACAGCCCUCUGCUGCUCCCUCACUAUUUUCAAAGCAUCCUAGCCCUCGGGAAGGAGAGGGCUACUACUCGGGGCCCCUGGCAAGACCCAGCCACCACCUCUGCAGAGCUGGGGGAGCAGGCUCAGCCAGAGGAGGCAGGGUGUGUCGGGUGUGCCGGCAAGCGGGUCGAGAGGAGGAAGGAGGCCCUUCUCAGAGCAGAGGGUAAACAAGCAUGAACUGCUAACAAAGACCCUGCCGCUCACUUGGGUAAAUCGCACCUCCACAAAGUUGAAGAGAAGAACAGGGCUGUGCUCUUUAGAAAGCAAGCUGGAGACGCUCAGCGGGACCUCAACUGGGCUACAAAGCUGCAGGGAGACACCACGGGGCCCCGGAAACCACAUCCCGGACAUGUGCGUGGGAACUGCUGUGUCUGGGAAACGCAGAGAGCAAACUGGAUCACAGGAUCACGUGCCGCCGCUCUGUUCAAGCCUGUGUGUGCGUGGUGCAUGUGCGCACGGGCACGUGAGUGUGAGUGUAUAAAGAAAUUGAAAGAGCUUGCCAUCUCAGGUCCAGCCCGUGCACACUCUCAGGUCCCAGGACCAGGACCAGAAGAGGGAGGCACAUGGAAAAAUUGAGCAGGUGCUGCUCCAAGGCCAGGCCCUCAGGUGAGGGUGUCUCUGGUCGUUCUUGUCCUGAGUCAUGCUCCUGGCUUCUCUGCUCAGUAAACAAGGAACCAUACAGACACCUUGGAAAGAGCCUCAGGCUGGCCGGGCGAGCGGCUGGCUGGCCACUGGGGGGCAGUGUGGCUCUGCCUGCAGCUGUGUGAUGCGUGGCCCGGGGACGCCGCCGAGGGGACUCCUGGGGUCCAGGCUGGCACCGCUGCCCAAGGAGUGCACGUCUGGGGAGUUUGGGCCAGGGCCAGCAGGCAGCCUCCACUUGCUCAGGCUUGGGACCGCCUGAGGAUCCUGGGUUGGGGGCAGGCAAGUCACCCUCCCCACCAGGACAGGGGCCUGGCCCAGAGCAGCCCCAGGCCGUUCCUGACCUCCUCCCCUCAGCUGAGCCCUGCUGGUCCCAACUGCUGUCCCCUGCCAGCCAGGCCUGGGCUGAGCACGCCCCCCUCAGGGCUGCCUGACCUGACACAGGGCCUGCCUGCCCUGUUCCUGCCCCAGGAGAGAGCAGGACAGUUCCCAACGUGUCCACUGCUUUGCUUACUUUGGCACAAGACUUAGGGCAAGAGACGUGCUUUUUCUCCCAGCAAAACUGAGUGAACGGAUUCUCCCACGUUCUAAACAUGCGCAUUCACAACUGAUACAGGAAAAAUGGAUGUGGGGUGAGGAGGGCCGUGUCCCAGGUCUCGGUGGAGCCCUGGGACACGCCCCGCCGAGUGUGGGUCCUUGGCUUCACGUAGGAAAGAAUUCAAGGAGGAGCCACAUGUGAGUAAAGGUAGGUGUAUUCAGAGAGACACCCCCCCCCCCCCAGACAGAGUGCAGGCUGUGUCUGAAGGCAAGCGCGCGGCCACGCGCUGCGGGGCGGGUGCUCAGGGUAGCUGAAGGCAGGCGCACAGCCCGCACAGAGCGCGGGCGUGCUCUGAAGACCAGGGAGCGAGAGAGGUGGUGAGGCGUGGUGUUGCCAGUUCUCAUGGGCUCGGUAGCUUCACGCGCCAGCAAGAGGGCCGACCUUUCCAGCCACUCUGGGGAAGAGGCUGGGAUUCCCAGCAACUGGGCCGCGCCCACUCUGACCGUUUGUGCCAGCCUCGGGGCGGCAUGGCGCCCGUGGGUGUCAUUUCCUGUGCCGCUGCAUCACAGCGAGCAGACAGCGAAGCUCGAGUUCUGCCACAAGUCAGAUCUCCUGUCGCCUUAAUCCUCGAGGCCCUACUGGGGGUCGAAUCUUCCACCACGUGGGUGUUAGGUGCUGUGACAUUUCUUGAAUGGCUGUGCCCUGCCCCCUUCCCUUCUGUCCCACAGCUUGAGUCUCCUGCCUUUGCCCCCAGGAGGAGCCAGCUCAGCCCUGGGUAAACCCUGGCUGCCUGUGACUGAGGCGGUGGAGCCUCCCUGGGGCCAGGGGGCCGAUGCGGUCAUCUUUACUCUUUCUAUCAUUACUGACAAAUUGAUAGAUGAACAUUUUUGUUAGUGUUUGGGCUUUUUUCCUACUUUUAUUUUAGUUUACUUUUAACCUGUUGUCCAUAUUUGCAGAUCCUAGCAUUGUGCCUUGUUUCCAUUUUCAGCGGAGAACCCGGAGUCGCACCCCGACCGCAGCCCUCCUCUUCCCCCCGGAGGCCCUGUUGUGAAUUCGGGAGUUGUUGAGAUGGCCGCUGUCAGGACGUGACCACCAGGUGGCAGGCGGCUGCUGGCAUCAGGCCCCGGUUCCACAGCUCCAUGGGCAACUCUUGGCAGUGUUGACUGAA